rnacentral:rRNA from 1 species
AUUGAACGCUGGCGGCAUGCCUUACACAUGCAAGUCGAACGGCAGCGCGGGGCAACCUGGCGGCGAGUGGCGAACGGGUGAGUAACAUAUCGGAACAUACCCUAGAGUGGGGGAUAACGUAGCGAAAGUUACGCUAAUACCGCAUACGCACUAAGGUGGAAAGUGGGGGAUCUUCGGACCUCAUGCUCAUGGAGUGGCCGAUAUCUGAUUAGCUAGUUGGUGAGGUAAAGGCUCACCAAGGCGACGAUCAGUAGCUGGUUUGAGAGAACGACCAGCCACACUGGAACUGAGACACGGUCCAGACUCCUACGGGAGGCAGCAGUGGGGAAUUUUGGACAAUGGGGGGCAACCCUGAUCCAGCAAUGCCGCGUGAGUGAAGAAGGCCUU